GCAGUGGGGAAUUUUGGACAAUGGGCGCAAGCCUGAUCCAGCCAUGCCGCGUGCAGGAUGAAGGCCUUCGGGUUGUAAACUGCUUUUGUACGGAACGAAAAGGUCUUUUUUAAUAAAGAGGGCCCAUGACGGUACCGUAAGAAUAAGCACCGGCUAACUACGUGCCAGCAGCCGCGGUAAUACGUAGGGUGCAAGCGUUAAUCGGAAUUACUGGGCGUAAAGCGUGCGCAGGCGGUAAUGUAAGACAGAUGUGAAAUCCCCGGGCUCAACCUGGGAACUGCAUUUGUGACUGCAUUGCUGGAGUGCGGCAGAGGGGGAUGGAAUUCCGCGUGUAGCAGUGAAAUGCGUAGAUAUGCGGAGGAACACCGAUGGCGAAGGCAAUCCCCUGGGCCUGCACUGACGCUCAUGCACGAAAGCGUGGGGAGCAAACAGGAUUAGA
rnacentral:rRNA from 1 species